rnacentral:lncRNA from 1 species
AUUUACUUUUUCUCCCUAACUUAUCCCUCCAGAAUUUGGAAACUAUUUGUGCAUAUUCUUAUUUUUAUGGCAAUGUAUUUAUUUGCAUAAGUUUAAUAAGAAUCUGUUGUCUUUGUAACAGGACAAACUGGAAACACAGGUUAUAUCACCAAGGCUUUGACUGAAACAUCAUGUUUUCAGAUAUGACCAGAAGGCUUUAGGGGACUAAGGUUGGCUUUAUGGAACCAAUAAAGUACCAUCUUGGAAAAACUGGCUCUAGGGUUCCCAGACUUACAGUCCUUCAAACUGAAACUGGAUGACUUGACAUAAGCUUCAGAAAAAUUACCACAACAGCUUGUGUGUGGCCCAUCUUUAUGGCAUUCAAACUGCAAACUAAUCCAAUGCCUCUUCUCA